GGCGGAAGCGGGUACGGCGCCUGGCCGCGGGGUGAUCGGGCGGCGGGGCCCUCGCACAGGAGACACCUAUACCGGCCCGGUGCUCUGACAGAACACCAGAGAUGGGCUGUGCAGGCGGGAAGUCUUGGGUCAGUCUGUCCCGUGCAUUACUUAGGACGGAGCCUAGCUGGGGUUGCCCUCUCGCAGAAAACACCCCAGCCUCCACCUUUUGUUUGUUUUUUGAGACAGCCUUGACAGGUUGCCGAGACUAGGCUCCAACUGAGGUGCCACAGCACAGUUGGUUUCUGUGAGGCCCCCUUCCUCACGUCUUCACGUGGCAUUUUCUCUGAAUCUCUGGUGUCUCUUCCUUUCAUGACGACAGUCAGGUUAGAGUAGAGCCCCACCCCUGUGACUUCACUUUACCCUAUUGAAGCCGUGCUUAAGAGAAAAAACGAGUUUCCCGGACCUAACCCUAACCCUUCAGACUUCUCCCUCCCUGUGGCUGUUGUCCUUUGCUCUAUUACAAACAGACUGCCUUCUCCCUAGGACUGUUGUUACAAAUAGUUAGUAACGUGUUCCUGUCAGUGAAGAUUCAUAGUCUGCUCUCAUAACACCCUGAUUUGCCUGAACAAGGCCACCUAGACAUACUAAGUUGCAAAACUGUCUGCUUCUGUAAACUUGCUUGCCCACCUACAAGGUCCACCCCCUUGGCACGUGUGUAAAACUAGAGCCCUUCCUUUGUUCAGCGCCCAGCCUUUGGGACAUGAUCCCGUGGGCCAGUGUUCACCUAAAGCCAAAUAAAUCCUGAAUCUCC